AUUGAACGCUGGCGGCAGGCUUAACACAUGCAAGUCGAGCGGAGAUGAGGUGCUUGCACCUUAUCUUAGCGGCGGACGGGUGAGUAAUGCUUAGGAAUCUGCCAUUUAGUGGGGGACAACAUUCCGAAAGGAAUGCUAAUACCGCAUACGUCCUACGGGAGAAAGCAGGGGAUCUUCGGACCUUGCGCUAAAUGAUGAGCCUAAGUCGGAUUAGCUAGUUGGUGGGGUAAAGGCCUACCAAGGCGACGAUCUGUAGCGGGUCUGAGAGGAUGAUCCGCCACACUGGGACUGAGACACGGCCCAGACUCCUACGGGAGGCAGCAGUGGGGAAUAUUGGACAAUGGGCGGAAGCCUGAUCCAGCCAUGCCGCGUGUGUGAAGAAGGCCUUUUGGUUGUAAAGCACUUUAAGCGAGGAGGAGGCUACUAGUACUAAUACUACUGGAUAGUGGACGUUACUCGCAGAAUAAGCACCGGCUAACUCUGUGCCAGCAGCCGCCGCCG
rnacentral:rRNA from 1 species